GACCGUGGUGGUAGUUAUGUCCAGACUCCAUUACCUGAAAAGCAGCGAGGAGCAAAAGUGUCUUGUGCUAGACAGCAAAAUAGGAUGGGGGGUAAUGCAACCCUGAUAAUUUUCCUGGGAUUUGCCAUCUAUCUGAUGAGUUUGUUCCCAGCCACUUACUGCUCAGAAGUUUUUCCUCUGAAAAUCCAGAGCAUGAUUCGCACUACUGAGGAUGAACAGGAAGAGGGAAACAGUCCAACAGCAGACUGGGAGGAAAUGGAGGAGUCAUUUGUGGCCUCAUCAAUAGGGGAAGGAAUGGAGGUGAUUGAUAUGGUGGAGCCUGAGGGCUCAGAGACACUGAGCAAUUCAGCAGUGAAGGAUUUGCUCUUGGAUCUGGCUCUUCUCCUCAAGAUUGGUUGUUUUUUGUUGCUUUUUUUUCUUUAAUGCAUGACCUAGAGCUUGAAAUAAUUUCUGUCUUCAUGAAUGAUAACAAUUGGAACAUCUAGCUAUAUUUCAUGAUCACCCACUGGACAAUACAGCUUGUCUUCAUCAACCACAUCCCAGGGAACUGAAUUAGAACAUUGAAGACAAGGCAAAGGACCCUGUGCACAUAUUGAAAGUGUUUUCCUUUCCUCCUGAGAAACACAAUAAAUUCUCAUUUUUUUCUAAGCCAGA